UAUUAACGUAUUAAAAGCCUCUCUCUCAAUUCGUUAAAAGAAUUCUCUGGUCUCGUCUAUCGCAAACCCUAGGUCAUGGCUGGGAUGUACAAUCAAGACGGCGGCGGAGGUGCGCCUAUCCCGUCGUACGGUGGUGAUGGAUACGGCGGAGGCGGAGGUGGAGGUGGAGGUUACGGAGGCGGUGAUGCUGGGUAUGGAGGACGCAGUUCCUCUGGCGGAGGUGGUUACGGUGGCGGCGGACGCGGUGGUUACGGUGGCGGCGGCAGAGGAAAUCGAGGUGGUGGAUAUCAAGGAGGCGGCGGCAGCGGAAGAGGUGGUGGUGGCAGGGAUGGUGGCGGCAGAGAUGGAGAUUGGCGUUGUCCGAACCCUAGUUGUGGGAACGUGAACUUUGCAAGGAGAGUUGAAUGUAACAAGUGUGGUGCACCUGCUCCUUCUGGUGCUGGUUCUGGUGCUGGUGGUGAUCGUGGAAGUGGUGGAUAUAGCCGAGGUGGAGGUGCCAGUGAUCGUGGGGGUGGUCGUGGAGGUAGAAACGAUAGUGGUAGGAGCUAUGAGAGUAGUAGAUAUGAUGGUGGAAGUAGGAGUGGUGGUAGCUAUGGUAGUGUUAGUCAACCGAGAGAUAAUGGUUCGUAUGGUCAGGCUCCUCCUCCUCUUGCAGCUAUUCCAUCAUAUGAUGGUUCUGGAAGUUAUCCUCCACCCUCGGGGUAUGGAAUGGAAGCAGUUCCCCCGCCUUCAAGCUAUUCUGGUGGCCCCCCUUCAUAUGGUGGUCCAAGAGGGGGUUAUAACAAUGAUGCACCGAGCCCUGGUGGUCGGGGUGGUAGGGGAGGUGGCUAUGAUGGUGGUAGUAGUGCUCCUCGACGGCAGGAAUCUAGUUAUGAAGAAGCACCUACUGAAAAUCGCACCCAAGUCAAGCAGUGCGAUGCGGAUUGUGAUGAUACUUGUGAUAAUGCUAGAAUAUACAUCUCUAAUUUACCUUCGGGUGUGACUACUGAUGAACUCAAGGAUCUCUUUGGUGGCAUUGGCCAAGUUGGAAGAAUUAAGCAGAAGCGGGGUUAUAAAGAUCAGUGGCCCUAUAAUAUCAAGAUUUACACUGAUGAGAAGGGUAACUUUAAAGGUGACGCCUGUCUGGCUUAUGAAGAUCCUAGUGCUGCACACUCCGCUGGCGGCUUUUUCAACAAUUACGAAAUGAGAGGCAGCAAGAUUAGUGUAACGAUGGCAGAGAAGUCUGCGCCCCGUCCUCCUACCUUUGACCAGAGAGGCGGUGGUAGAGGAGGAGGAGGGGGUGGCUAUGGUGGUGGUGGGGGAGACAGAAGAAGAGAUAACUAUGGUUCAGGGCCAGAAAGAAACCACCAUGGGGGAAACCGGUCUCGUCCAUACUGAGAGAAAGAGAGAUCAACGAAUCAGCUGUUAUGUGUUCUAAGAGUUUUGUGUGUGUUGAGGGGGGAAUUUUAGUAAAAAUGUUGCGUUGAUUUGUGGGGAAAAAAUGUUCUAUGAAUCAUCAUAUUGGAGAAACAAAAAAAAAAGAGGAAGCUGAAAAAUUAACUGCAAAUUGCAUUGCAAAUUGGUGCUAUGAUGAUUUCAGGUGAGUGUCAUUCAUCUUGAUUUACUUCUUUCUUCACCAGAAGUCUCUUUCUUGCUUGUCUUCCUUUCUUUUUUGACUCUGUUCAACACAAACAAACCAAGUCAUAUGUUGUUUUCACAUUGUAUUGUGUAUGCAUUCAUUUAGGCAAACACACUUCCCUUUACAAUUCUCGGAGUUAUUAUAUUUA